CUCCCCGCGAUUUAUAUUGAUUGAGUCUACAACGUUCUCAAAGAUUCAGCCAAUGAGAGGUAGCAAUGGUGUUGCAAUGGCACCUGGGUAAACAAAUGACAAGGCGGUACCGUCGAAUAUGCGCGCUUUCUCUGUCUGACGUAUCUUGGGUCAUACCAUUCGACGUGGGGCCACUCAUAUAUCCCCCUACAUUUUUUCGAAAAUAGCCUAGACUGUCUGUUUAUUGGAUAAGCGCAUUUCCCAAUCCCAGGAGUCUUUGCUCCAUUCUACGUCAAUUUAAGAACAAACAAAGAAAUUAAACUGCAGUUCGUAUUUUUUAUUUAUGACCAUGAAAGUUCUGUAAUGCCUGAAU
rnacentral:lncRNA from 1 species